GAUGAACGCUGGCGGCGUGCCUAAUACAUGCAAGUCGAGCGAACAGAUGAGAAGCUUGCUUCUCUGAUGUUAGCGGCGGACGGGUGAGUAACACGUGGGUAACCUACCUAUAAGACUGGGAUAACUCCGGGAAACCGGGGCUAAUACCGGAUAAUAUUUUGAACCGCAUGGUUCAAUAGUGAAAGACGGUUUCGGCUGUCACUUAUAGAUGGACCCGCGCCGUAUUAGCUAGUUGGUAAGGUAACGGCUUACCAAGGCGACGAUACGUAGCCGACCGGGGGUGGUGAUCGGCCACACUGGAACUGAGGCACGGUCCAGACGCCUACGGGAGGCAGCAGUAGGGAAUCUUCCGCAAUGGGCGAAAGCCUGACGGAGCAACGCCGCGUGAGUGAUGAAGGUCUUCGGAUCGUAAAACUCUGUUGUUAGGGAAGAACAAAUUUGUUAGUAACUGAACAAGUCUUGACGGUACCUAACCGGAAAGCCACGGCUAACUACGUGCCAGCCGCCGCGGUAA
rnacentral:rRNA from 1 species